rnacentral:tRNA from 1 species
GGCGUGCUCAGGACGAACCUGACAUCGGUUCCGGGCCGGUGAGGAAGAGGAAGAGUGCCGGGUCAGUCGUCGUUCGACUUCUUCGCACGCCC